rnacentral:rRNA from 1 species
GUGGGGAAUAUUGCACAAUGGGGGAAACCCUGAUGCAGCAACGCCGCGUGAGUGAUGAAGGCUUUCGAGUCGUAAAGCUCUGUCUUAAGGGAAGAAUAGAUGACGGUACCUUAAGAGGAAGCCCCGGCUAACUACGUGCCAGCAGCCGCGGUAAUACGUAGGGGGCAAGCGUUAUCCGGAAUCAUUGGGCGUAAAGGGUGCGUAGGCGGCCUGACAAGUCAGAGGUGAAAGGCUACGGCUUAACCGUAGUAAGCCUUUGAAACUGACAGGCUUGAGUGCAGGAGAGGAAAGUGGAAUUCCUAGUGUAGCGGUGAAAUGCGUAGAUAUUAGGAGGAACACCAGUGGCGAAGGCGACUUUCUGGACUGUAACUGACGCUGAGGCACGAAAGCGUGGGGAGCGAACAGGAUUAGAUACCCUAGUAGUCC